GCUGAGGGUUUCAGCUGGUACUUGGGUUCUUUCCCUCCUGUGCCUGGGUAAUGGUGAGUGAACAAAGCAGCAGGUGAUUAGUGCCGGUUCCUGCAGGACCCUGAGAGGUGCCUUUCAGAGAUCUCUCAGCAGACUUCAGUUCUUUCUGGUGACAGGAGUAUUUUAGUCCCUGAUCAAGACCAAACAUGGAUGCACCACAUCCUACAGAUAUUGCCCAUGAGAUCUUGUGCUUACAGCCUGAAGUUCUGCUGUGCUAAACACCAACUCCAGUAGUAUGUACGGGAUCAGAUACUGGAGUAAUACCUGAUCCUUUAUGUAGUUUGACACCAAACUCAAAUUCCUUCAUACAUUCAGACUUCACUUUGUUUAAUGAUGAUCUUGUCCAGUGUUUUCUCAAGAUAAAGAUUAUCUGACACAUAUAAACUGAUAGUUACGGUAAUAUUAACCUUUUUCCUGACUACUGCUCAGCCUGUCCCUGAAAUUAAUCUUCAGGCUUUGGAUCACCCUUACCCUGAAAGCUGAGCAAUACUAAAUCACAACAAUCUCAAAUACCGUCACAGCACAUCUUAAACUGCCUACACCUCACAGAAAAAUCUGGCAGAUGCCUUACUUAGAAAUGCUUUGGUUUAGGUAUGUCAUUCUAUUUUGUUUCCUUAAUAUGUUUCUAUGAAAACAGGGUUAUGCUUUAGGAUUUAAUCUUCUGUAUAUUCCUGACUUCAGUCAUAACCUCUGUCCACAUCAAAAUCAGCUGGGAUAUCAUUUUCACAGCACAUAUACCAGAUUUGAAAAUGAUCUUUUCAUCUUUUCUUCUUCUUUGUUUUAUUUUUCUUCUGUAAAGUUCUAAAACCUAAGCAGAAAAAUAAUGAAAAGAGCCUACCUUCAUUUCACUGAUGUGUUACACACAAAGUUUUCUCAUCCUUUUAAAAUUAUUCUUCGUGUGAAUUGAUUUUGCGGUAUUGAUUCUAGGAAUACUGUCUGUAAGCGGUUAUGUUUUGUGCAAUAUA
rnacentral:lncRNA from 1 species